GCAGUCGAACGGCAGCAUGAUCUAGCUUGCUAGAUUGAUGGCGAGUGGCGAACGGGUGAGUAAUACAUCGGAACGUGCCCUGUAGUGGGGGAUAACUAGUCGAAAGAUUAGCUAAUACCGCAUACGACCUGAGGGUGAAAGUGGGGGACCGCAAGGCCUCAUGCUAUAGGAGCGGCCGAUGUCUGAUUAGCUAGUUGGUGAGGUAAAGGCUCACCAAGGCGACGAUCAGUAGCUGGUCUGAGGGGACGAUCAGCCACACUGGGACUGAGACACGGCCCAGACUCCUACGGGAGGCAGCAGUGGGGAAUUUUGGACAAUGGGGGCAACCCUGAUCCAGCAAUGCCGCGUGUGUGAAGAAGGCCUUCGGGUUGUAAAGCACUUUUGUCCGGAAAGAAAUCGCACUUACUAAUAUUAGGUGUGGAUGACGGUACCGGAAGAAUAAGGACCGGCUAACUACGUGCCAGCAGCCGCGGUAAUACGUAGGGUCCAAGCGUUAGUCGGAAUUACUGGGCGUAAAGCGUGCGCAGGCGGUUGUGCAAGACCGAUGUGAAAUCCCCGGGCUUAACCUGGGAAUUGCAUUGGUGACUGCACGGCUAGAGUGUGUCAGAGGGGGGUAGAAUUCCACGUGUAGCAGUGAAAUGCGUAGAGAUGUGGAGGAAUACCGAUGGCGAAGGCAGCCCCCUGGGAUAACACUGACGCUCAUGCACGAAAGCGUGGGGAGCAAACAGGAUUAGAUACCCUGGUAGUCCACGCCCUAAACGAUGUCAACUAGUUGUUGGGGAUUCAUUUCCUUAGUAACGUAGCUAACGCGUGAAGUUGACCGCCUGGGGAGUACGGUCGCAAGAUUAAAACUCAAAGGAAUUGACGGGGACCCGCACAAGCGGUGGAUGAUGUGGAUUAAUUCGAUGCAACGCGAAAAACCUUACCUACCCUUGACAUGCCACUAACGAAGCAGAGAUGCAUUAGGUGCUCGAAAGAGAAAGUGGACACAGGUGCUGCAUGGCUGUCGUCAGCUCGUGUCGUGAGAUGUUGGGUUAAGUCCCGCAACGAGCGCAACCCUUGUCUCUAGUUGCUACGAAAGGGCACUCUAGAGAGACUGCCGGUGACAAACCGGAGGAAGGUGGGGAUGACGUCAAGUCCUCAUGGCCCUUAUGGGUAGGGCUUCACACGUCAUACAAUGGUGCAUACAGAGGGUUGCCAAGCCGCGAGGUGGAGCUAAUCCCAGAAAAUGCAUCGUAGUCCGGAUCGUAGUCUGCAACUCGACUACGUGAAGCUGAAUCGCUAGUAUCGCGGAUCA
rnacentral:rRNA from 1 species